rnacentral:rRNA from 1 species
AACGGCCGUACCAUGCUGAAUAUACCGGUUCUCGUUAGAUCACCGAAGUCAAGCAUCAUUGGGCGCGAUCAGUAUUUGGGUGGGUGACCACCUGGGAACACCGCGUGCCGUU